GACAGAGGGUGCAAACGUUGCUCGGAAUCACUGGGCGUAAAGGGCGCGUAGGCGGGAAUGUAAGUCGGGCGUGAAAUCCUAGGCUCAACCUAGGAACUGCACUCGAAACUGCGUUUCUUGAGUAUCGGAGAGGAAAGCGGAAUUCCUGGUGUAGAGGUGAAAUUCGUAGAUAUCAGGAGGAACACCAGUGGCGAAGGCGGCUUUCUGGACGGUAACUGACGCUGAGGCGCGAAAGCGUGGGGAGCAAACAGG
rnacentral:rRNA from 1 species